AAGGCGAAGAAAAUUUACGCAACACAGACAGCUGAAAGUUCAAAGAUCUGAGCAGUAUAAAGAUCACGUUGAAAUUCCGUUGACAUCUGAUGUAACGGUAAAGGUGAAGGCAGACAAUGUACAUAGCAUCUGGAUGUGCCCGAAAGAAGACGCCAUUACCACAAAGAAGCGCCUACCUGUCUGCUCUACAAUGACUGGAGUUAAGAAGAUAAACAAGACAUGGUUUGACUGCCCCCUAUGCCCAGUGAAGUGUUCUAGAGAAGAUUUCCUACUGGACC